UUUGUGUGUGGGCUUUUAGGAGGCGUCAUAGUUAAGCUGAGCCACAUUUGGCAUUUUUUCUGUUCUAGUCAUGUGCGGUAAAGGACUAAUGUAGCAAAAUUCACACCUGUCUAUAAGCAUGUAAGUAGUCUCGCGAUUUAAAUGCUUUACUGGAUCUGGGCUUAAAUUAUUUUUAUUAACUUCUACCUUUCAUAAUUAUUUUGAAGCUUAGUAAUCACACGUUUCUCAUGAGGAUCAAGAAAGUUUGUAGUUAAAAAUAGUCAGAUCAGGAUGAACAAUGUUAGACAAUAACUAAAUAUAUUUAUGUCCAGGGUUGUUCGGAGUCUCCUGCAAGGUAUUUUAGAACUUAUAGUUGCAAGCUCCCACAGGCUUCAGGAAGGUGCAGGCUAAAAACUGUGCUAGAAACCCUGUGUUCUGACAACUUGCCAUGGGGCAACAGGAGCUGGAUCCUGUGACUUAAAGAUAAACAGCCUGUGCACUCAAAAGUCUAUUUAUUGAUCAUCAGACAGAGCUCUAAAGAUAUUAGUCUUUCUGCUUACCCUUCCUCUCUUUAUGGUAAUUCUCAGAGUGUAGGGCAUGCAGUAUAGAGAACUCUUUCAUGAUGUUGCUUACAGGAAAAACUUAUUCACUGGGCUGGGCUGGGCUGAAGGGAAAAGUGCAAGAUGCUGGGAGGGCAAAAGAUAGCUGUCAACCAUCCUAAUCUGACAUGGGCUGUAAACAUCCUGGACAGGUUUACAAAGGGUUUUGCGAACGCAUCUCAGGUGUUUGAAGUUCCAGUCUGUGUCCUGGAGACUGGGAACUACUGCAGCCUAGGAGGGAUUUUUCCGUAAUGCUAGUCUCCCAUACAGAUCAAGGAGAGACUGCUAUCUGUUGUCUGUCUGAGCAGCUACUCUAGGCUGAUGAUAAUUUUUGUGUAGAGUGGAAACCAGCUCAGAGCCAGGGAAGGGAGCCAGUAGUCCCCUCCCCCACACAUUGAGGAAAUUCCUGAAAAUUUACUUAAAGCCGCAGAAAAUAACCUUACCCUUCACUUAAGGAAGUUAGAAAAAGAAGGAAAAGUGUUAAAUGAAAAAUCUCCCAACUUCACGUGGAAAAGCAGUUUGUAAGUGAGGCAAGAAACAGAAACAAGAUUAAGAGUACUCUCAAAUAAAUACCUACACACAACCUCUUUAUAUAAAUACAUGAACUUGUAUAUGCAGAUCACUGGAUGGAGAAUUAGAGGAAUCCAAAAGCACUCUGCUGUUACGUAAAAUCAGAACAACAUUUUUGUUAAGAAAAAAAAAUUACAUAAUUCUGCUGUCUUAAAUAAAUUUUAUGUAAUCUGUUACAAAGUACUCAGAUAACCAAUGAUUGUCAUAUUCUGUCUGAUGGGAAUUGAAAAAACUUGUGUAUUCAGUUAGUCAAAUGAAGUUACUGUGAACAGCUGUAUGUUGUCUUUUUUGUAAAAUUGUUGACUUUCUGCCAGUGACAGAAAACAGCUAGUAAAGGUACUACUAUAGUAUAAAGUAAUUGAUGACAACUGUAGUGCAAAAACUGAUUGUGAAGGUGGCAGAGUGACUUUCACGAUGACCUAUUUUCACUUGUUCAUACUAGUGCAAAAAUGACUAUUUGGGAUUUGUGAGUGCUCAACCCUUCUGAAAAUCCAGCCACUUUUAUUAAGAUAGCUAAGUAUUGAUUUUUGGAGCCUAAUUUUAGACACCCAAAGUUGAAAUUUUUGGCCCCUAUGUGGGCUGUUGCUAUUUAAUCUAGAAAGAUUCAACGCAAGAGCUAAGUGAGCAAAAAAAGUGAGUUUCAGCUUUUUGUAGUCUCUGAGGAAAAACCUUUCCUAGCAGAUUCAGUGUAAGGAGCUACUAUUAAUUUUAACUAUUCAUGCCAGUUAAGACAAAUGUUUACUAAAAUAAAAUCAUAGCAAAAGUAAUGCAAACAAAAUUUUAUAUGUGCAAAUGAAACAAUGUCAGAUUAUACAAUCACAUGAUUUUUAAAAAUACUAUACAGAUAAUUAUUAGAGAUGUAUUGAACACUAAGCAAUUGAAGUCCCAGGUGUUUGCCAGUUUUAAAUAUUGAUUUAUAAAUUCUGCCCUCAGUUACCCAUCAACGUCAUAUAAAUUACAAAGGUGGAACAAGGCAAAAUUUGACUAAGACUAUAUACUGUCUGUGAUUUAAAAAUACAGUAGAAUGUUUUAAUUGAAGAUAAUGUUGGACCUUAAUUUCAAUUUUCUGUGUAGCUUAAACUUUUGAAGUAACUGAACUUGUAAAUAUUUGCACUACUGUGUGUAUUCAAAAAGUACAUAAUGUCUGUAUGGUUUAAAUGUACCUUCUAAUCCUGGCACAAAUCUUGUUUUGAAAUCACUUAAUAUGGAAUACGGAUACAUUUAUCUUUCA